CCAUGAACUGACAGUAUUUCAGGAGCCGAGUGUGGACGGGAUCAGAUGCUGCUGCUGAGUUCUCGAAGCAUGGAUGUUUGCAGAAAGCUUGUAACAAGAAACCUUCAGAGAUCUUCAUAGGACACUUGGUCAGUGGAUGUCCUCAGGCUACUCCUUUCAAGGCAAUGACUACCCUAACACCAUAGACAUUAAUCAGUAGGCCAACAACUAAGAUUAUAAAGGAGUCAAUGGACAAUCGAGAUUCCUUUAAUUCUAAGGAGAAAAUCCUUUUUCUAUAGCCGUAACAAGAAAAAGGAGCCCCAAGAGAAUAGUGUGAGGAGUCAUAUGGUUGGUGUGUGUAGGUAUCCUCAAGCUUAAAGACUAAGAGAAUAGUCACAAAUGGACUUGAUCACAUGAUAUUCCAAGACUGGUGAUCACCUUGCAUCUCGAAGACAUCUUCAUUGGAAGUAUCCAGAUUGUUAAGCUAACUUUUGCCUGGACAACUUCAUCUGCAAUGUUGACUGCUGUAUGUAGCUCUUUGGGAAACCAACAACCAGAAGCUCCUGGUUCCCCAGCCACCUCUGAGCUCUCCCUGAAGUCAUAUACCAUCCCCUCAGACUCUGAUCCAGGACUUUCUCUUCAGCAAGAGUCACCCCAAGAACCAUCCUAUACUCCUCCUGAGAGAUACACCUCUCUUUCUUCUGUACGAAUUCCCUGUCAAACAUUUGCAGGCCGAGAAUCUGCUGAGAGCGCUUCAUUUACCAAGUUUCUGCACCCAUCCUUUGAGAUGUCUCACCCAUAUGAAUCCUGGAUGAGACCUCCACCCUCAGGGGCUCCUGGUGAAGAGGCUGGUGUUCCUUCAUGGUGGGAUCUCCAUGCUGGCUUCAGUUGGAUGGAUACGCAGCCUGGAACUGGAGGUUUUACUACAACUUCACCCCACCCAGGUGUAUAUGGCUCUGAGCUGUGUAUUCCCCCGGCAAACAUGCUCCCUCCUACACCGCAUCUCAUGGGAGCAUUGGAAGCCACAAUGGAAUCUCACGCUGCUGAACAAAGUUCAGAUAGUUCCCCUCGUCCAAAAAGUGCCAGGCGAGCAAUGCCACGUAGCUCUGCCCAAACUGCCUGUCGUUGUCCCAACUGCCAGGAAGCAGAACGUGUUGGUACCAGCGGAGAUGUAACAAAGAGAAAAAAUAUGCACAACUGCCACAUCCCAGGCUGUGGGAAAGCAUAUGCCAAAACCUCCCAUCUAAAGGCUCACUUACGCUGGCACAGUGGUGAUCGUCCUUUUGUCUGUAACUGGCUCUUCUGUGGCAAGAGAUUCACCAGAAGUGAUGAGCUGCAAAGACACCUUCAGACCCAUACUGGAGCAAAAAAAUACCCUUGCCCUUCCUGUAGUCGUGUAUUCAUGAGAAGUGAUCAUCUCACCAAACACAUGAAGACCCAUGAUGGAGAGACCCGGGGGUCCACAGAGGCUUCUAGUAAGGCUAAGAGGGAGCCUGAAGAGAGUACUAGUAGUCAUACAAACUGAGACCCCUUCCCGUCUGAUUGAGAAAGCUCUGUGAUGGUGUGAGGUGUCUUUUCCAACAUGAUGCUUCACUGUACAGUGCUUGAUUUGUGGAGAAGCUCCUAUUACAUGUUAAUUUAUUUGUAGAUAGACUGUUGCUUCUGACAUUACCACAUACUGUUCCAGGAGUAGAGCAAGAGGGGCCAGUACAUGCGGCAUAGGGAAAUCUAGAGAAAUUCUAGGGGCAGAGAAGAGGAGAUCAGCUGAUAUUAAAUGGGAAAGGAGAAUCCUUAGGGCUUGUAGUUCUGCAAUAUUAGAUAAUCGCAGGGUGCCUAAAAUAGUUUUGAAGAUCGGAUAAAGCAUUUCACCAUAGGAAAAAAUAAAUAAAGAAGGCUGUGCACAGAGUAUUAUAUCUUUUUCACGGGCUUCACUUUAACUCUUUCGUUUUUCCCAGAGUUCACGGAUUACAGGGAACACCCACUGUGAGGGGCUGCCCCUCCCGCAGAGUCUCCUCAUGUUAUGGGGGGAAUGUCUCUAUAAAACUGGGUGUGGAGGGAUAUGGGCAGAGAACAACUCCACACCCAGUGAGGCAGCGGCACGCACUGGCUGCACCCAGGGGACCUGUAGGGUGCUUUAUUAACCCCUUCCAUGCUAUUAGUUGGCUAGUCACUGUUUGGAACCCAGGUGAUCUGUAAGCAGCUUAAUUAAUCAAAUGGUGUGUUCAUAUUUUGUUUCUGCCAAGGACUUUGCUUGCUUCAAUUUCUGCAUAUGUGACAACAUUGCUCGUAAACAUAUUUGCCAGUGUACAAUUGUCUUCAUUAUGUGCAUCAGGCUUUCUAUGGGUUAAAAGAUGUUCUUACUCAAAAGCUCUUUGUUAUUGCGACCCUGAAGGGCUGCCAUUACCUUAAAAAGGGGUCUACACGAUGCCAAUUGAUUAUUAGAAAAGUAAUUCACAGUUACGGCAACCCUUAAAAGCUGCUCCAUGAAUUUGUUCGACAUUUUGGAACCAGUCUCCUGUCCAGCCUUUGCAGGUUUAUAUUAUUUAUUAGAACCAGUCCAGUGGGAGGCCUGGAGUGGGAUACGGCCAGUAACUAAUCAUAUGUACUUUAUUAUGCUUGACAUGUGACUUGAAUGAAUUCCGCUCUUAACAAUGUGACAUGUUCAAACUUCAUUUACUACCCAGAAGGAGCUGAUGUUGGACCCAUUGUAGUUCAUCGCAUUGUAAAUAGGCUAUAUUUAUAGGUAGUUUGGCGCUUUUAAGUUAAAAACACAAACACUUCUCCUCUUUUUAAAAUCCCUACUUUCCGAAGGGUCUCUUGACAAUAAGAUGAGCACAAAGUGUCCUGCUGCUGGAAACUCCCGAAUCAGCAGUAAUCUUUGGGAAACUCGCCUGUAAGUAUUUAACCUCUUUGUAGCGCCACCACAGGGCAAACUAAGAAUGACACAGUGCCCAUUCAGAUCGGUGCACGGUCUGCAUAAUGCUGGAGGGAACGUCUCCUUCCCAGUGAGAUGUUCUCUUUGCAACCUCUGUAUACUAUGGGCCAGGACAUGAGAAUCCUAAACAGGGGACCCUCCUUCUAUCAAAGAGGACCUGUCACCACUAAAUGCAGUGCAAUCUGCAGGCAACAUGUUAUCGAGCAGGAGGAGCUUAGCAGAUUGAUCGUUUUAUGGAGAAAAAAUUAACAAUAACUUGGUAUUUCAUUCAUUUAACUCUCUGCUGUAUCUGACUUCACUUGUGCACGCAGGUCAUUUUACCAACGGUCCCGCUUUCAGCUGUCUUUGUUUCCAUAGGACGCAGAGACAGCUGAUUUUAAGCUCUCCGCUCCCCACUUCACCAUUUACCUCAGCUGCCCCUCCACCACUUUCCACUUGCUUGCAGCGUUUUGGUGUCCGCCUGACGAUGCGGAGCCAAACGGAUUAGCAGUGGAGAGAACAUACUGCGACUGGUUUAAUGUAAGAGGCUGAGAGCUUGGGAUAUGUUGGGGGCUGUAGUUCUCCUGGUUGGAGGGAGGGAGUGGUUAUUUGCCUAGCACUAGGGGAGUGAUGUUAUCUACAUGGGACUGUAUGUUGGAGGGGGCUGGAGGGAGGGAAUGAUGAUAUUUACAUGGGACUGUACAUUGGAAUAGGCUGAAGAUAGAUAGUGAUGUUAUGUACAUGGGACUGUAUGUUGGAGGGGCUGAAAGGAGGGGCGCGAUGUUAUUUAGCCUAUAGGUAGUGUUGAGCGAACUUCUGUUUUCAAGUUCAGCGUACAAGAUUUGGGUUAUCUAAGUAAGAAUUGCGUUACGACAGACUACAACUUAUGGUCCGUGGUAGCGAAAUCCAUAACGGAAUUCUUAGAUAAUCCGAGCUCGAACCUUGUAUGCCAAACUUGAAAACAGAAGUUCGCUCAUCACUAUCUAUACACAAAAAAUGGCGGUGUGAAAGGUCCUCUUUAAGUAACAGAUGUCACACGGCAAUUUUUAUAACCAAUUAAAGUCUAUGAGGCUGGUCACAUGGCUGUUUCUUUAACAGCCAGAGAAUAGCGGCUGUCAGAAAGUAGGACAUGUUGUGGGAUUAGGCGUUUUUUUUUUUUUUUUUUAGCAAGUUAGCGGCGUGGCCUAGUGUAGAAACAUUUGCCGCAGCUCGCAAAGCACGCCACACAUUAUGUCCCUCUUCUCUCUUGUUGGGAGGUAUGGUGAUUGAUAGCAUUCUCUGUGUAAGUGUGUAUGCAGAGAUAGCUGUCAGUCACUGAUAGUUGUACACAGGGGUGGUCUUGAAGGGAUAUUACCAUCUCGCACAAUGAUGGCAUAUCGCUAAGAUAUGCCUUCAAUGUCAGAUAGCACCUGAUAGGUUGAUAGUGGUGCGACCCUCACCUAUCACCAGAACAAGCCCCCUGAAGUGAAGUGAGAGCAGCCAUGCAUGUACGGCCACCCUCCGCUUAUGGCUAUAGGAGUUCUGAAAGCAGCAGAGCGCUGGCUCGGCUAUUUCCAGCAGUCCCAUUGCAGUGAAUAGAGAGGUGACCUUGCAUGUGACGCUUGCUCUCUAUUCACUGCCAUGGGAGUUCUGAAAAUAGUCAAGCAAGUGCAUUUGGCUAUUUUUGGAACUCCCAUAGCAGUGAAUAGAUAGCACACUGCGCAUGUGCAGUGUGCUCUACUUUACUUGGGGGACCCCAAUCUGGCAUUGAUGGCAUAUCCUAGCGAUAUGUCAUAAAUGUCUGAGAUGGGAAUGCCUCUUUAAGUAUAGAAAGAGUAGAGGUUUAAAUGUAUAAAUGACACGUUUUACUGAACCUUUUUUCCCAUAAAACUAUAUACCAUUCUGCUUAGCUCCUCCUGCUCUAUAACAUGCUGCCCACAGAUUGCACUGCAUUUCAUGGUGACAGGUUCUUUUAAACCAGACAAAGGUUUGGCCUGAAGUAUAAAUAGGAACCAAUAUGGUUCUAGCAAAUAACAAGCAGUUAUAAAGUAGAGUUUUCUAUGCCCCUUAUGCCCCAGAGCUUUAUAAUCUGAUACCCUACCUUACAGUAUAAAGCAAGAACAAAAAUUUAGGACGCGUGCCUGAGUUUGCUACCCAGGAUAUCUGCCUUGACCCUCACAGGGUAUUAACUUUAGGGAGUCCAAAGGUGUCGGUAAUACCUGGGCCCUACUUUCACACUAGCGCUAAAGUUUUCCGCUAUUGAAUUCCGUCAUAGGGGCUCAA